GACGAACGCUGGCGGCGUGCGUAACACAUGCAAGUCGAACGGAAAGGCCCUGCUUUUGUGGGGUGCUCGAGUGGCGAACGGGUGAGUAACACGUGAGUAACCUGCCCUUGACUUUGGGAUAACUUCAGGAAACUGGGGCUAAUACCGGAUAGGAUCUCCUGCUGCAUGGUGGGGGUUGGAAAGUUUCGGCGGUUGGGGAUGGACUCGCGGCUUAUCAGCUUGUUGGUGUGGUAGUGGCUUACCAAGGCUUUGACGGGUAGCCGGCCUGAGAGGGUGACCGGCCACAUUGGGACUGAGAUAAGGCCCAGACUCCUACGGGAGGCAGCAGUGGGGAAUAUUGCACAAUGGGCGGAAGCCUGAUGCAGAAACGCCGCGUGCGGGAUGACGGCCUUCGGGUUGUAAACCGCUUUCGCAUGUGACGAAGCGUGAGUGACGGUAAUGGGUAAAGAAGCACCGGCUAACUACGUG
rnacentral:rRNA from 1 species